UACGGAGGAUCCAAGCGUUAUCCGGAUUCAUUGGGUUUAAAGGGUGCGUAGGUGGAAUAGUAAGUCAGUGGUGAAAGCCUGUUGCUUAACAACAGAACUGCCAUUGAUACUGCUAAUCUUGAGUACAUCUGAAGUGGGCGGAAUGUGUCAUGUAGCGGUGAAAUGCUUAGAUAUGACACAGAACACCGAUUGCGAAGGCAGCUCACUAAACUGUAACUGACACUGAGGCACGAAAGCGUGGGGAUCAAACAGGAUUAGAUACCCUGGUAGUCCACGCCGUAAACGAUGAUUACUAGAUGUGUGCGAUACACUGCACGCGUCUUAGCGAAAGUGAUAAGUAAUCCACCUGGGGAGUACGGUCGCAAGACUGAA
rnacentral:rRNA from 1 species